rnacentral:lncRNA from 10 species
GGAGAAGCUGGGGUGGAGGGGAACCUCCACUUGCCAGGAGAGCACAUGUAGGAUGGGAACCCCAGAUGAUACUCAAGGCAUGGCAUUAGACCAGAAGCAAGUCUGUGGUGAAAUUAGGGAAGGCUCCACUGCGGACUGUAGACAGAGCACUGGACAAGGAAGUGGGAGACCCAGGGUCCAGUCCUGGCUCUGGAGCCCCCUGGGUGGGCUGCCCCGGGCACCUUUCUCUCUUGGGGCCUCCAUUCCUACCUCUGUGAAGCGAGUGCUGAACCUCUCUUAGCCCUGACUUGCUGAAAUGCUGGGACUCUGUACAGAGGCUGACAUUAAGCAGGGAUCUGUCGUGGGGUGCUGCAAUGUUCCUCCAGAUGCUGCACGGGAGAGGGCAGAAAAGGCCUAUAUGCCACCCCAUAAGGAGGCGGAGGUACUAUCAUUAUGCCAACUUUAAAGAUGAAGAAACUGAGGCCUCAAGAGAUGAAGUAACUUGGCCAAGUCACUCAGCCAGUAAAUGGGAAGAGAUAGACUUCCCAGUAUCCAGAGCCCAUGUUUUCACCAUUAUGCUGAAGUACCUCUUUUCCUGUGCCAAUGUGAUCUGCCUCCAGGAAUCCUGUCUUGAUGUUCCCUUCCCCAUACAGAAGUCCUCUCUGUGUCCUCUUCAGCCUGAUAGUAUAUCUUUUCAUACCAUUCUUUGGACAUCUCUGUUAUACUACUCCAAUGGUGUUCCCUCCCCUACCCCUCCCUGGGAGCUUAGUUGUUGUGAUUAAGUAUAGGGGAAAUGACCCACACUAAACAAACUCAUAAGAGACUGAUUGAUAAACCUGAAAUGCAAUUUAUUAAUUAACACUGAGAAAUGAAACCACCCAGCAGAUGGGAAUCCUAAGGCUGACUGGUCAGCACAAUCUCUUUCAGGAAGGACAGGCUUUUGGGAAAGGAAAUCAAUACCAGAAGGUUCUUUGUUGAGUACAAAGUCAGAGGGAAGGGAGUUGAUGGAUUGACACAUAGGUGAAGCUUGACAUACCUCUAUAAAGCCUCCAUCCUGCCAAGGAUCAGAAUAUCCAAGGCAGGGAGCCAUCUGGGUGUCCUCUCCUUUGGACAGUGCUGGAUUUUUCUGGAUCCUAUGAAGAUCUUACCUUUCUGGCUGCAUUUAUCAUGAUUGUGGAAGGCUUUUUGUUUCCUUGUUUGCUUAGAUUAAUUUCUGCGUAUUUAAUAGAACUGAAAGGCAAUUUCCCAUUGAGACCCACUGAAGAGGAAUAAUCAAUACAUACUAGUUGUGUUGCCCUUUGCAGAGAAUUCACUUCUGUGUUGUCACUGUAUCCUCAUGCUUCCUUAUAAUGGAGGGACAGAGAUGGUAAAAACAUGGACUUGGAAGCCAGACCGUCUGGGUUUGAAUCCUGGCUCUGUUACUUAUAAGCUCUGCAACCUCG